GGAGGAGAGUGUCGCUACUUUACGAAGUUAAAGGGGUUUUAGCGGCGCCGCGCUCCCCCUCCUCUUCUGGUUUCUGCAUUGGAUUGACACGGCUCGCUACAUGCUUGAGCUCGUACUUCCGAUCACAGAUUGGUGUGCGCCUGCUUUUUGCACUCGGCUUCCAACAGGUCGCUCGCUGCUAGCGCCAGUUCGAAUAUAUAUACAUGCAUGGCUAGCGCAGACAUGCUAUUUGCCGUGCACUUACCGUGUAAGCACAGACAAGUGUGUGGCUGCUUUUCGCACUGGGCUGUUAGCAGCUCGCUCGCUGCUAGCGCUUAAACACGGAGUGGUCAUCGACAAGUUCAGAAAUGUUUUGCCGUAGCCUUACCGUGCAUGUAAGCACGCAGGAAUCCCGGAAAAAAUACACGUAAGGGACAGGAAACUACGCUUUAUUUUUCCUUUACUUUGUGAUGUACUUCCACACUGAGUAGCGCCGAGCGAUGGCUUCUAACAACUUUGUGGACCCAUCACGGGCGCUCACACGCAAAAAAAAAAAAAAAAAAAAGAAAUACCCGCCGUGCACGUUGCUUAGUGGCUGUGGUGUUAGGCUGCUAAUAAGCACGAGGUCGCGACAUAGAAUCCCGGCCACAGCGGCCGCAUUUCUAUGGGGGGGAAAUGCGAAAACACUCGUGUACUUAGACUUAGGCGCACGUCAAAGAACCCCAAGUGGUCCAAAUUUCCGGAGUCCCCACUACGGCGUGCCUGAUAAUGAGAUCGUGGUUUUGGCACGUGAAACCCCUUUUUUUUUUUUUUUUUUUUUAUAGGAAGUUAUUGACAAAAAGUGAAGCGCCACCUCCCCACCGCAACUCCACCGUUGCUGCUGGAAUCGCACUUGAUAUAUGCCCACGCGCGCUGCAAACUCUUUUCUGCAUUUGUUGAAACCAUGGAGGAAGGAAACCACGGAGGAAGGAAAAGUUUCCUUCCUCCGUGGUUGAAACCAUCGCUCGAUCGGCGCUACCCAAUGUGCAUGUAUGUACAUCACAAGGUAAAGGAAAUACAAAGAGUAGUUUCCCGUUCCUUUGCUUGUAUGUUUUCCUGCAUUCCUGCGUGCUUACAUGCACGGUAAGCGCGCGGCAAGAAGCAUGUCCGCGCUACCCGACGCCUUUUAGCGCGAGCAGCGUGUUAAAAGCAGGUGCACCAAUCGGAAAUGCGAGUGCAAGUAGGUAGCGAGCCGCGCCAAUCCAAUGCAGAAGACAGAGGAGGAGGAGGAGCGAGGCGCCGCGAAUCUGUGACUCGGCCCAAUAGCUCAGCGUUUGCGCUACAGACGGAUGCUUCUCAACCUGUCGCGUCCCUAUCGAUCUUGCUUCCAUCUUCAAUAUCUAUUCAACCAAUGACUGAGGAAGGAGACGCUACCAUUGACGUGUCACUUCGCGCAUAUGAGCCGGCGGGCCAGUGCGACGACCGGUAUUGGGGAAACAAGGCGCAGCGUGAUCAAAGUGUCCUAGUGGAUAGCACCACCAACCACCAAGCUUGCUGAUUGCGGAAAGAAAGAGGCGCGAAGAUCCAAAUCCAGCAACUUCCACAGAGUUGACAAAUAUCAGCUGGAGCGUAAUCACCUGCAAGAGGACAGCCUUGUGGAUGACAUUUCCUUUUUAAUAGAGGCAGCCUAGCAGAAGCAACCUGCUGCAUUUUUUCUGCGUGACCAGAGAGAAACUUCCGGAAAAGAAGAACAACUUGGUCUGAGGAGACAACUCGUCACUGUGUUGUUCUCAGGCACUUGUCAACAAGGGCUUAUGAACAUGUGCAGGGCAAGGAACUCGUGAGACUGCCUAGUAGAAACAUUCUAUCUGCAUAUGACGGUAUACAAGAUGUAGACAGGCUUCACAAAGCUGAUUGAAACAUGGCUCCGAACAGAAUGCCAGGAUUUGCUGGCACCCCAGUCCAGGGUGCGCUCUCUCAUUCUUGAUGAGAUGCGGGUAAAAGAGAAACUCCAGUACCACAAGCAGCAAGUCUGUUUUCUUGGCCACAUAGAACUUGGCUCGAGAGACCGCAAUGAUAUUGUUUUAGCGAACUCGCUCCUCUGUUUUGUGAUCAGCGGAUUGUCCACAUCUUGCAGAAUCCCGGUAGGCUACUUUUUUCGCCAAAGGGCUGACUGGCAUUCAAUUCCAUGAGCUGGUUCUCUUCAUCUUGAAGAAAAUGGAACUUGAUCCUGGGACAUGGCUGACUUAUCGGAUCGAACAUUCCUGUGACCCUGAGCGACCCUUUCUCCUUAGCUUUGAUCUGUGCCACGUUCUGAAAAAAUGUGUGCUCCCAGUUCUUGGCCCAUGACAUCGGGCCAAAAGGAAAAAUAUCAUCUUCACAUCUCAAAGCUGUUUAAGAGCUUCAUAAAGACUUGACAGCAAGACCAGUGUGCUACCUCAGUCACAAGCAUGUCUACCCAAACAAUAUUGCAAAGGUGAAUGUCAGACGGACUGUGCAGGUGUUAUCUCCUGGUGUAACCGUCACCUUGUAGUGCCUGAAAGAAUGAGCGGGUCACACUUGCAGCGUAUCAUUUGCAAGCGCAGGCCCUAGUAUUACAUUCAUGAAGUACUUUUAUCGUUGGUUUGUUCUUCAUGACACGAGCAACACAAUGCAGCACCUUUGUCAGAACUUCGCAAAUGCCCGGCAUUAUGAUGAUGACCGGCUCGAGUGACUUGGAGCUACUAUGCCAAUGUACUUGGAGGAGUUAAAAAAGGGAUGUAGCCAUCCGAAGGAGUUUUUGACCAAGGAAAGAUAUUGUCACGAGCACGGUUGGCUGUGUACUGGGUUUGCCGCUUCUGCAGAUGCUGAGGCCGACAAUGACGAAGAUGCAUUCCCACUGAAGGUGUCGGACGGUAACUGUCUGCUUCCAUUUGAUUAAACUCAGACAGUUUUCAUCAUAUAUAUAGUAAUGUGACUGGUGGAGGUUCGGGGUAAACCGUUCCAUGCUCUGUGACCAAUAGGAAGCUCCCAAAUUAGGUUGCGACACCUUUGACACUGACCUUUGGCGCAGCCGGCGACAACUAGGACUAUCACUAGAGCUGGACCCACUCUCAAUAGUGCAGCCAUGACAAGCAGUUCAAUGAAUAGCCAGACUGGAGAGAGCACCACUCCACCUGCUCCGUGGAUUUACAACAUGCCGUGAACACCAAGGUCGUUUCACGGUGACGCGUUCAAGGAUGUUGAGAACUGGCUGGACCACUACAAUCGAGUUGCCAGCGUCAGUGAAUAGGAGGACCACCGGAAGCUCCGGUAUGUCUACUUCGCCCUCGAGGAUUCGGUGUGCAUCUGGUUAGAAAACCACGAAGCUAGUUUGGCGACCUGGCAAGAAUUUUGUAGCCAGCUGCGCAAUACCUAUGGAAAUUUAGACCAGCAGGAGCAAGAGAACGUGCUCUCAAUUCCAGGAAUUGAAGACCAAAUGAGAGUGUCGCCGUGUUUGUUGAGGACAUGCCGCGGCUGUUCCGGCACGCUGAUCUCGGGGGCUGCUGGUUUUCAUAGCAUCAAAUGGUUCCCGGCCCAUAUGGGAAUCAAUGUGUACUCUGAGGUUGUUAACGCCAAUGAGUUGGCCCAUGACUGUGCGCAAGGUCUCGCACACCGCGGCGGUUCAGGUGGACUCGUGGGCGGCGACUUAGGACUGUACAGGGAUUCGCUUCUCACCUUCCAUGAAAUCUUGGCACAUUAUCAACUUGCUUGGCGGGCCUUUCCACUACCACACCCUAAACUUAAUAGACCACAAUCGUCGGCGUUUCGCAUGCUUCAAACGGGGUCAUUUCCCUCCAGGGGCCGAUUCAGUCACUUCGCGCCUAAUGUAGAACUCCACUGUCCAGACUGUGGGGAGGCAUACUGCUCCUUAUCCCAUAUGCUCUGGCAAUGCCCUGCGUUACGCAGCUCAUCGCUAAGCACUCUAACUGACUGGGAGGCAGCCCUUAAGAAUGGCGACCUCUCAGAGCAACUACGAGCUGUCCAGAGGGCCUGCGACAGGGCGGAGGACCACGAUCUUCCGACCCUGACGUGGGUGCGGCCCGCGACGACUACGGGAACUCCCUGAAAAGGGAGGUACCCUAACGCCGGUUCCUCAGGACCAUUAAUAAAGUUCUUUGUCUGUCUGUCUGUCUGAUCUCGGAAUGACAGAAGAAGAAGUGUGCUUGUUGAUGCAGGGCAUGAAAGAGCAGUUGUUCGUAGGUCUAGUGCACCACCAGGCUACGUUACCUACCAGGUAACAUAGCCGAACUCUUAAACGACGCAACAACGAUAGCGCGUAUGCUAUGGCAGCGGUCAUCGCAGUACAAGCACCAAAGCAUCUUCACAUCUCGUCAUCUAUGGCCACCCGAUUUGACGACCCUAAGGGAGUUCAUGCGCAGUAUGUACACGAGGAGCUGCAACAAGUUCCUGCAAUGUCUUCUCCAUCCCACGUGACUGCUUUAAGUAAUGUGGUUCGUGAAGAGGCCAGGCAGCUGGUACAACUGCUGGUCACGCUGCCAUUCGCAGCCCCUCUCCUGAAGUAUGCUGAAGCCUUAAAAUCUCCUAUGUCAUCAGUUGGCUAUUCAUCCCACCCACCCACGCAACAGCGGACACAGCACUUCUCAAGUCCUCAGUACUUUUCGAGCCCUCUGCCUUCGUCAAGCCCAAGUAAAAAUAUGCGGAAGUCCAGUGUUUGGCGCACUCCAGACAAUCGGCCGCUCUAAUACCAUUGUGGUGAAGCAGGCCACCUAUAUCGAGAGCGUACAUAUGGUCAGAUGGGCCUUCCUGGGUUUCGCCCAGAUGCACGUCGGCCCCGUGAUAGUGAGCAUCGCCAAGCUAUUGUCGAGUACUUGGCGAGCCAGCAGUCCCCGACUUUUCCACGAUGCCAGCCCCGCUCUCCAUCUCCUUGACGUUCUAUGUACCCUGGCCAGCGCUUGCCAUUUGCUCAUGGCGUUGGGGGCGCAGAUCCCUUAGGUCCUGAAGCCCAUGCCGGAAAAACUAGGAGGAGCGACCUCCGGGGGUGGGGGCCACUGUUGACAGAUUUUUAAAACAUCCUCGUCCCCGCUACGCCAGCCGACCGCCAACGAUUCCCUUUCACCGCCACAUGCCGUUGGCUACAAAAGUGUUUCCGCAGACAUCCCCAUUCAAGUCGACACCUACCCGGUCACUGCCCUCGUGGACACUGGCACCGAUUAUUCUGUUAUCAGUGCCAAACUAGCUGCUGAACUGAGGAAAGUCACGACUCCAUGACACGGGCCAAGCCUUCGGACAGCAGAUGGUCAUCUCUUGAGGGUGAUUGGGAGAUGCACCACCAGGCUCCAAAUCCGACAGUCAAUGUACUUUGCUUCGUUUAUCGUGUUGCACGAGUGCUCUCAGAAAGUCAUCCUUGGGAUGAAUUUUCUUCGCGAGCACGGUGCUGUUAUUGAUCUUCGGGAGCUGAUUAUAACAUUUUCUGACAACUGUGCCCCAGUACUGCAAGAUAGUAACACGCUUAAGGCAGCAUUGUGUGUUGUUGAUGACACUGUGACACUCCCGCUGCAAACUAGUAUGUUUAUAACUGUUGAAAGCGACUGCGGCCAUGAUAGUAGCGGCAUCGCUGAAGAAAACUUGUCGGUGCUCUUGGCUCGGCAAGUCUGUGUCGCCUGUGGCAUUAUUCAACUGAACUGCCGAAUGGCUGAGCUUUUAGUUGACAAACUUCAGUGGCGAGUACCAACGCAUGGCAGAGCGAACGGCCAUUGCUCACUUUGAAGAUAUUAGAGGUGCAAUAGGUCCUACGCAUGCUGAACUUGCUGCAACCGCUAAGAGUGACACCAUGGUUGUCAGUACAGUCAAUGUAAAUCCUGAGCUGUCAGCCACAUAGAAAGAGUGAAAGAGUAAGUAUUUUGUGCGUGUGCAGUGAUUGUUUCACAUCCACGCCAAAAGCAACACAGACCCCCAUCGUGAAGCACCGUAUUAUAACAGAUCCGAUCGAACAUCCUGUGCGUCAGCACGUCUACUACAUGUCACAAAAGGAGCAAGAGGUUUCCUGAAACCUAUUGCACCACCAACACAACCAUUUCAACAAAUCAGCAUGGACUUUUUCUGGUAAUCAGAAGUCUUUUUCUGGUAACUGCUGGAUCGUGGUUGCGACUGAUUACCUGACGUGAUACUGCGAAACGGGAGCCUUCCAGUGAGCCACUGCUAGUGAUGUGCACUUUUUCAUUCACAGCAUAGUCCUCCGGCAUGGUGCACCAGCAGUAGUCAUUACAGAUUGUGGUACAGGUAUCACAGCUCAGAUAACGCAAGACGUCAUGAUGCUUAGUGGAACAGCUCAUCGCCAAGCCACUGCAUAUCAUCCUCAGACCAAUUGUCUUACGGAGAGGUUAAAUAAGACAAUCGCUGACAUGCUUUCCAUGUAUAUCGACAACAGGAUGAUGUUUUGCCUUACGUUACAUUUGCAUACAACACUGCUGUUCAAGAAACUACUGGGUUCACUCCUUUCUGUUUACUCAACGGCCAUGAGGCAACCACCAUGCUGGACGCCAGGCUCCUCCCUGAACAAUACGACAUUACCAUUGGCACAGAGGAAUUUACCCGGCUCACAGACGCAGCUCGCAAGCUUGCACACAAGCGAAUCCAGAAUCGGCAAUCCAUAGACUCCUAGAAGUAUAACGCUCGCCAUCGCGAUGUUGUCUACCAACCCAGUGAUCAAGUUUGGGUAUGGACCUCGAUUCGCCAAUGCAGCCAGUUGGAAAAGUUACUGCACAGCUACUUCGGCUCUUACAGAGUCAUCCGUCGCCUCAGCAAGGUGAACUAAGAAGUUCUCCCUGAAGACACCAAUCGGCGAUCCUAUCUCGUGCACCCUACAGAUAUUGUGCAUGUUUCCAGGAUGAAACCGUACCACUCAUCUUGAUGAGACCAUUCUCACUUCCACUCGCCUUGAUCCCUCUUGUGUGACACUUUCCUCUUCACAAACUUUUAUCUGUGUUGCCUUGUAUGUGCUUUGUUUCUUUCCCUCUAUUUCACAUUUGAAGCACCAAGACGAUGCUUUCUGGAAGGGGGGUAAUGUCAUGAGCGCAGUUGGCUGUGUAGUGGGUUUGCCGCUUCUGCAGAAGCUGAGGGCGAUGACGAUGAAGACACACUCUCAGUGAAGGUGUCGAACGGGAGCUGUCUGCUUCCAUUUGAUUAAGCUCAACAGUUCUUCAUCUAUUGCAGCACCACCAGAUGGCAGCAAAGUGCUCAUCAGCAUGUAGACUUGUCUGCCAGACAAGCAGGUCCGGAAUCCUCACUACCUGCAACU